UGCCAGCCGCCGCGGUAAUACGGAGGGUGCAAGCGUUAAUCGGAAUUACUGGGCGUAAAGCGCGCGUAGGCGGUAAGUUAAGUUGGAUGUGAAAGCCCAGGGCUCAACCUUGGAACUGCAUCCAAAACUGGCUUACUAGAGUAUUGUAGAGGGGUGUGGAAUUUCAGGUGUAGCGGUGAAAUGCGUAGAGAUCUGAAGGAACAUCAGUGGCGAAGGCGACACCCUGGACAAAUACUGACGCUGAGGUGCGAAAGCGUGGGGAGCAAACGGGAUUAGAUA
rnacentral:rRNA from 1 species